UACAUUAUGUACAUUCAUAUAAUGCACCCUCUGCCCGGUGAUUUAUUAAACGGCCGCGGUAUCCUGACCGUGCAAAGGUAGCAUAAUAACUUGUCCUUUAAUUGUUGACUAGAAUGAAUGGGUCAACGAAAUAAGAGCUGUCUCAAUAAACCACACAUAAACUAUUAUAAAAGUGAAGAAACUUUUAUUAUAUUAGAGGACAAGAAGACCCUAUAGAGCUUUAUCUUACACAAUACACUACUGCCUAUGAUUCGGUUGGGGCAACCUAUGAAAAAUCAUCUUACAUUACACUCAGACACAUAAUUCUUACUCCUGAUCCACAACGUGAUCAUCAAACCAAGCUACCUUAGGGAUAACAGGCUAAUCCUUCUUUAGAGUCCGUAUCAACAGAAGGGAUUGGCACCUCGAUGUUGGCUUAGAUUACCUUUUUGGCGCAACAGUUAUUAAAGGGGGUUUGUUCAACCCAUAAAAAUCU
rnacentral:rRNA from 1 species